GCGCUCGUGGUGGAACUGGCAGACACGCAGGAUUUAGGUUCCUGUGCCUUCGGGUGUGCGGGUUCAAGUCCCGCCGAGCGCACCA
rnacentral:tRNA from 1 species